rnacentral:rRNA from 1 species
UAGGGAAUCUUCCGCAAUGGACGCAAGUCUGAUGGAGCAACGCCGCGUGAGUGAAGAAGGUUUUCGGACCGUAAAGCUCUGUUGUUGGUGAAGAAGGAUAGAGGUAGUAACUGGCCUUUAUUUGACGGUAAUCAACCAGAAAGUCACGGCUAACUACGUGCCAGCAGCCGCGGUAAUACGUAGGUGGCAAGCGUUGUCCGGAUUUAUUGGGCGUAAAGCGAGCGCAGGCGGAAGAAUAAGUCUGAUGUGAAAGCCCUCGGCUUAACCGAGGAAUUGCAUCGGAAACUGUUUUCUUGAGUGCAGAAGAGGAGAGUAGAACUCCAUGUGUAGCGGUGGAAUGCGUAGAUAUAUGGAAGAAUACCAGUGGCGAAGGCGGCUCUCUGGUCUGCAACUGACGCUGAGGCUCGAAAGCAUGGGUAGCGAACAGGAUUAGAUACCCUGGUAGUCCAUGCCGUAAACGAUGAGUGCUAAGUGUUGGGAGGCUUCCGCCUCUCAGUGCUGCAGCUAACGCAUUAAGCACUCCGCCUGGGGGAGUACGACCGCAAGGUUGAAAC